GCCUCUGUAGCUCAAUGGAAGAGCAGUUCCGUCCUAAGGAAAGGGUUGGGGGUUCGAGUCCCUCCAGGGGCACC
rnacentral:tRNA from 7 species